AAUUGCCCAAUCCCAUACAGUCUAAGCCCCAAACCAGGUCACUGAUGACAGCCAUUAAUUAUCAGUGGGAGCCAACAUGUGAGAAAAGACCAUCAAGGGGAACCCAAGGGGGCAUCAACACGGUCACAUGAUUCAGGUGGAUCCCGAAACACAAACAACCGUUCUCCAGUGGCAGAGGCUGCCAUCCUGUAUUCCUCUGCUCUGCUGUGUAAGGUUUCACUCACUGUGUCCACAACCCUUUCUUUUGCAGUGCGACUGUGCUGAUAUGUAACUGUGUUUUCAGUCAUGGCUGAUUUACAAACAGGCUGUUGUGCUUUGGUAAAACUUUCCUCCUCUGCUUUCUCUUCCACCAGCAGCAGUGCAACAUCUCUGGGAAGCAGGAGGCGGGAUCUGGGGAGCAGUUUUUCCAUCAGACUUUGUCUCGUUUCCUGGAGUCUGAGAGAUUUGUAGGACAAAGGAGCUGUUGUUAGUGGGACUGGGGUGUUAAAGUGUUUACCUCAUGCAUGUGGUCCCUGCAGCCCAGGCUUGUAACUGAUGAAAGUAAUAUUACACAUCAACAAAGGA